UACGUAGGGGGCAAGCGUUGUCCGGAAUCAUUGGGCGUAAAGCGCGUGUAGGCGGCCCGCUAAGUCCGCUGUGAAAGUCCAGGGCUCAACCCUGGGAUGCCGGUGGAUACUGUCGGGCUCGAGUCCGGAAGAGGCGAGUGGAAUUCCUGGUGUAGCGGUGAAAUGCGCAGAUGUCAGGAGGAACACCAAUGGCGAAGGCAGCUCGCUGGGACGUGACUGACGCUGAGACGCGAAAGCGUGGGGAGCAAACAGG
rnacentral:rRNA from 1 species